rnacentral:rRNA from 1 species
UACGUAGGGGGCAAGCGUUGUCCGGAUUUAUUGGGCGUAAAGAGCGUGUAGGCGGCUUCACAGGUCCGCUGUGAAAACUCGAGGCUCAACCUCGAGCUGUCGGUGGAAACCGUGUGGCUAGAGUCCGGAAGAGGAGAGUGGAAUUCCCGGUGUAGCGGUGAAAUGCGCAGAUAUCGGGAAGAACACCCGUGGCGAAGGCGGCUCUCUGAGACGGUACUGACGCUGAGACGCGAAAGCGUGGGGAGCGAACAGG